rnacentral:rRNA from 1 species
AGUGGGGAAUAUUGCACAAUGGGCGCAAGCCUGAUGCAGCGACGCCGCGUGAGGGAUGACGGCCUUCGGGUUGUAAACCUCUUUCAAUAGGGACGAAGCGCAAGUGACGGUACCUAUAGAAGAAGGACCGGCCAACUACGUGCCAGCAGCCGCGGUAAUACGUAGGGUCCGAGCGUUGUCCGGAAUUACUGGGCGUAAAGAGCUCGUAGGUGGUUUGUCGCGUUGUCCGUGAAAUCCCACAACUCAAUUGUGGGUCUGCGGGCGAUACGGGCAGACUGGAGUACUGCAGGGGAGACUGGAAUUCCUGGUGUAGCGGUGGAAUGCGCAGAUAUCAGGAGGAACACCGGUGGCGAAGGCGGGUCUCUGGGCAGUAACUGACGCUGAGGAGCGAAAGCGUGGGGAGCGAA